UAAUUUGAGAGUUUGAUCCUGGCUCAGGAUGAACGCUGGCGGCGUGCUUAACACAUGCAAGUCGAACGAAGCA
rnacentral:ncRNA from 1 species